AUAACGAGAUUAUAAAAGAAGGAAAAGAAAUGAAAGAAUGUGAAUUUGAGGAUAGUAGAAGGAUGAAAAGCAGAAUAUGACCUAAAUAUAUAAAUGAUAAAAAAGAGAGCAGUUUAGCUUUGGGUUUGCGUUGUGUUUCUAGAAUAAAUAAUUUUCAAAUCACAUUUUGAUCUAUUCUCGUUUGAGAAGUUUCUUAUUCACGGCCGUCCUCAUGACUCUUUCUUCAUUUUUAUUUAUUAUGUAUAAUUCAAACAAUGGGGUCAGGUCAAAAGAAGCAAUUCUGGCCUUUUAUUUAUUUUUUUGCUUUAGUUAGAACGAAAAAUUCUCAAUCAAUUCCAACAUUAUUAGGGACGAUUUUGCAAAAGAUAAAAGCAGGGUAAUCUCAUGAAAACCACUGACUGAACCACCAAAUUUAAAAAAAAAGAAAAAAAAAAAAGGUUAAGCUAAAUGGUCGUUUUCCCUCACCAGUAGAC
rnacentral:lncRNA from 1 species